rnacentral:rRNA from 1 species
GACGAACGCUGGCGGCGUGCUUAACACAUGCAAGUCGAACGGAAAGGCCCUGCUUUUGUGGGGUGCUCGAGUGGCGAACGGGUGAGUAACACGUGAGUAACCUGCCCUUGACUUUGGGAUAACUUCAGGAAACUGGGGCUAAUACCGGAUAGGAGCUCCUGCUGCAUGGUGGGGGUUGGAAAGUUUCGGCGGUUGGGGAUGGACUCGCGGCUUAUCAGCUUGUUGGUGGGGUAGUGGCUUACCAAGGCUUUGACGGGUAGCCGGCCUGAGAGGGUGACCGGCCACAUUGGGACUGAGAUACGGCCCAGACUCCUACGGGAGGCAGCAGUGGGGAAUAUUGCACAAUGGGCGGAAGCCUGAUGCAGCAACGCCGCGUGCGGGAUGACGGCCUUCGGGUUGUAAACCGCUUUCGCCUGUGACGAAGCGUGAGUGACGGUAAUGGGUAAAGAAGCACCGGCUAACUACGUGCCAGCAGCCGCGGUGAUACGUAGGGUGCGAGCGUUGUCCGGAUUUAUUGGGCGUAAAGGGCUCGUAGGUGGUUGAUCGCGUCGGAAGUGUAAUCUUGGGGCUUAACCCUGAGCGUGCUUUCGAUACGGGUUGACUUGAGGAAGGUAGGGGAGAAUGGAAUUCCUGGUGGAGCGGUGGAAUGCGCAGAUAUCAGGAGGAACACCAGUGGCGAAGGCGGUUCUCUGGGCCUUUCCUGACGCUGAGGAGCGAAAGCGUGGGGAGCGAACAGGCUUAGAUACCCUGGUAGUCCACGCUGUAAACGGUGGGUACUAGGUGUGGGGUCCAUUCCACGGGUUCCGUGCCGUAGCUAACGCUUUAAGUACCCCGCCUGGGGAGUACGGCCGCAAGGCUAAAACUCAAAGGAAUUGACGGGGCCCCGCACAAGCGGCGGAGCAUGCGGAUUAAUUCGAUGCAACGCGUAGAACCUUACCUGGGUUUGACAUGGAUCGGGAGUGCUCAGAGAUGGGUGUGCCUCUUUUGGGGUCGGUUCACAGGUGGUGCAUGGCUGUCGUCAGCUCGUGUCGUGAGAUGUUGGGUUAAGUCCCGCAACGAGCGCAACCCUUGUUCACUGUUGCCAGCACGUUAUGGUGGGGACUCAGUGGAGACCGCCGGGGUCAACUCGGAGGAAGGUGGGGGUGACGUCAAGUCAUCAUGCCCCUUAUGUCCAGGGCUUCACGCAUGCUACAAUGGCUGGUACAGAGAGUGGCGAGCCUGUGAGGGUGAGCGAAUCUCGGAAAGCCGGUCUCAGUUCGGAUUGGGGUCUGCAACUUGACCUCAUGAAGUCGGAGUCGCUAGUAAUCGCAGAUCAGCAACGCUGCGGUGAAUACGUUCCCGGGGCU